rnacentral:misc_RNA from 1 species
UGUGGGAGCGGGCUUGCUCGCGAUUCAGGCACCUCGGUACAUCUGAUAUACCGUGGUGAUGCAAUCGCGAGCAAGCCCGCUCCCACA